UGAAUACGAGACGCUAAGGCGUCGAAGUAGUGUAUGUCAUACUUCCAAGAAAAGCUUGCACUGUCAUAGAUAAAAAACGCCUGUACCAUAACCGACACAGGUGGGUAGGUAGAGUAUACUAAGGGGCGCGAGAUAACUCUCUCUAAGGAACUCGGCAAAAUAACUCCGUAACUUCGGGAGAAGGAGUGCCUUAUUCUUAAGGUUGCAAUAACAAGAUCCAAGCAACUGUUUAUCAAAAACACAGGUCUCCGCUAAGUCGUAAGACGAUGUAUGGGGGCUGACGCCUGCCCAGUGCCAGAAGGUUAAAGAAGCUGGUUAGCAUUUGCGAAGCUAGUAACUGAAGCCCUGGUGAACGGCGGCCGUAACAAUAACGGUCCUAAGGUAGCGAAAUUCCUUGUCGGGUAAGUUCCGACCCGCACGAAAGGCGUAAUGAUUUGGAUACUGUCUCGGAGAGGGGCUCGGUGAAAUAGACUUGUCUGUGAAGAUGCGGACUACCUGCACCAGGACAGAAAGACCCUAUGAAGCUUUACUGUAACUUGAAAUUGAAAUUGGACUUUAUUCGCGCAGUAUAGGUGGGAGGCGUUGAUUAUAAUCUUGCGGGAUUAUUGGAGCCAUUAGUGAGAUACCACUCUUGUAAUGUUAGAUUUCUAACUUUGAAUCAUUAUCUGGUCAAAGAACAGUUUCAGGCGGGCAGUUUGACUGGGGCGGUCGCCUCCUAAACGGUAACGGAGGCGUACAAAGGUUUCCUCUGAACGGUUAGAAAUCGUAUCUAGAGUGUAAAGGCAUAAGGAAGCUUGACUGUGAGACCUACAAGUCGAGCAGGGACGAAAGUCGGUCUUAGUGAUCUGACGGUACUGAGUGGAAAGGCCGUCACUCAACGGAUAAAAGUUACUCUAGGAUAACAGGCUGAUCUCCCCCAAGAGUUCACAUCGACGGGGAGGUUUGGCACCUCGAUGUCGUCUCAUCGCAUCCUGGGGCGGUAGUACGUCCCAAGGGUUGGGCUGUUCGCCCAUGAAAGCGGUACGCGAGCUGGGUUCAGAACGUCGUGAGACAGUUCGGUCCAUAUCCGGUGUAGGCGUUAGAAUAUUGAGAGGAGCCUUCUUUAGUACGAGAGGACCGAGAAGGACAUACCUCUGGUGUACCAGUUAUCGUGCCAACGGUAAACGCUGGGUAGCUAUGUAUGGAGUGGAUAACCGCUGAGAGCAUCUAAGUGGGAAGCCCACCUCAAGAUAAGUA
rnacentral:rRNA from 1 species